rnacentral:rRNA from 1 species
GACGAACGCUGGCGGCGUGCUUAACACAUGCAAGUCGAACGAGAGCGUAGAGAAAGCUUGCUUUUUCUACAAUCUAGUGGCAAACGGGUGAGUAACGCGUAAACAACCUGCCCUACGGAUGGGGACAACAGCUGGAAACGGCUGCUAAUACCGAAUACGUUCCGAAAGUCGCAUGACUAUCGGAAGAAAGGAUGGCCUCUAUUUAUAAGCUAUCGCCGGUGGAGGGGUUUGCGUCUGAUUAGCUAGUUGGGGGGGUAACGGCCCACCAAGGCGACGAUCAGUAGCCGGUCUGAGAGGAUGAACGGCCACAUUGGGAGUGAGACACGGUCCAGAGGCCUACGGGAGGCAGCAGUGGGGAAUCUGCCGCAAUGGGCGGAAGACGGACGGAGCAACGCCGCGUGAGUGGAGACGGACGUCGGGUUGUAAAGCUCUGUUAUACGGGACGAAUAAUCUUGUGGUUAAUACCCAGGAGAAGUGACGGUACCGUAAGAGAAAGCCACGGCUAACUACGUG